GAAUGCUUUUAGUUUUCAUAUAAUUUAUCACUUUAGUUCUUUGGAUGGUAUGUGAAUUAGUUGUUGUAUGAAAACUGAAUAAAGUGAUAGUUGAUUGCUUUCUCUGACAAGGUCCUAUAUUAUGAAUGCAUCAGAUUUACUUAUUGCUUCAAAAGUUUUAUCAUUCCAAAUUUUCAUACACCAUGAAAACUAGAUUGGACUGGGUGUAGUGUUUCCUUUUGCUAGUGGUAAAUGUUUAUGUAUGCUUUUUAUAAGCUUUCCAAACCACACUAAUUUGAUAAACUUAAAAUUUAAUUAUAUUCUGUUAUGUUCUAGACCACGCAUAUGCUACUUCAGAGUUUACUCUUUUAAUGAAAAAGGCAUAGGAAAUGAAGUGCUAGGCAGAUGUAGUGAAUACUUAAUCUAGGCUUCUUUGAAAACCCUGGGCCUUAGGCCCUCCCACAGAACUGGCCAGGUAUCUUCACACAAAAUAUUUCAGUCCCUUAGUACUUGAUUUAAUCUGAAAAGUCUGCCCCCUUAGAAGUGUGAGAUUCUUACCAUGAUGAUUUUCUAUUACAUGCUGCCAGGAAGAUAGAUCAGAUCAAGAUUCUUUCUGUGGUGAUGAAGUCAGUUUAGAAGAGAAAAAGGUCACUAUUUUCUUAAUUUUAGAUACACUGUUUUUUUGGAUAUAGGAUCCUAUCAGUAAUCCAAGUAAGAAAAUAUUAGCCACUGAACUGAGGAAGUGGCAGUUCAGAGAGAAGAUAAGCUUGAAAGAUAUUUUAAAAAUACAGUGAAGGGUGAGUUACAGAAGAUAACUCCCAGGAUCCUAUCCAGGAUGCUCCUUAGUGUCCUCCAAUCUUAAACAGUUUCUCCAUUUUUCCUUGUCUUUCAUGACCUUGAUAUUUUUGAAGAGUAUUGAUGAGUUAUUUCCAAAAAUGACCGUCAGUUUGAAUUCAUCUGAUGAUUAGAGUGAAGUUGUGCACUUUUUGGUAAGAAUACUAUAAAAAUGAUGUGUGUUUCUCACUGCAUUAAGAGGUGCAUGAUGCCGAUGUCUUAAUACUGGUGAUAUUUGAUUACUUGUUUUACUUGAUACCUGCUGCAUUGCUCCACUGUAAAGUUAUUAUCUUUCCCUUUGUAUUUUGGCAAGUAUCUUGGAGAUAUUUUGAAAGUGUGUAAACUCUGUUUCUCUGCAAACUCUUGCCCACUAGUGUUAGCAUCCCAUGGUGGUCUUGUUUGCAACAUUUGUUACUGUGGGUUUCCCAAAUUGGAUUCUCUUUCCCCCUUUCUUCUACAUAUAUUCGUUGGAAUACUAUUGUGAGAAUAGUAUUUAUUUCCCAUUUGUUUGUUUGUUUGUUUGUUUUACUUGGUUAUAUAUGCUGGAAUCAUUUUGCU